rnacentral:rRNA from 1 species
GCUGGAGUUACUAGUAAUCGCAGAUCAGAAUGCUGCGGUGAAUGCGUUCCCGGGUCUUGUACACACCGCCCGUCACACCAUGGGAGCCGGGAAUGCCCGAAGUCGGUGACCCAACCGUAAGGAGGGAGCCGCCGAAGGCAGGCCUGGUAACUGGGGUGAAGUCGUAACAAGGUAAC